rfam:Oryza sativa (indica cultivar-group) chromosome 12, whole genome shotgun sequence.
CCUUCGUCCCAUUUUAAAUGUAAUUGUAGAUUUUUUUAUUCGUCUUAUUUAAUUUUUUUAUUAUUAAUAUUUUUGUUGCUAUUAGAUAAUAAAAUAUGAAUAAUACUUUAUACGUGACUUAUUUUUUAAAAAUGUUUUUAUAAAUUUUUUAAAUAAGACGGACAGUCAAACGUUAGACACGAAAACUCACAACU